UACGUGAGGGUGCAAGCGUUAAUCGGAAUUACUGGGCGUAAAGCGUGCGCAGGCGGUGAUGUAAGACAGAUGUGAAAUCCCCGGGCUCAACCUGGGAACUGCAUUUGUGACUGCAUCGCUGGAGUACGGCAGAGGGGGAUGGAAUUCCGCGUGUAGCAGUGAAAUGCGUAGAUAUGCGGAGGAACACCGAUGGCGAAGGCAAUCCCCUGGGCCUGUACUGACGCUCAUGCACGAAAGCGUGGGGAGCAAACAGG
rnacentral:rRNA from 1 species